CCUACGGGUGGCUGCAGUGGGGAAUAUUGGACAAUGGGGGGAACCCUGAUCCAGCCAUGCCGCGUGUGUGAAGAAGGCCCUCGGGUUGUAAAGCACUUUCAGUGAGGAAGAACGCCUGGUGGUUAAUACCCAUCAGGAAAGACAUCACUCACAGAAGAAGCACCGGCUAACUCCGUGCCAGCAGCCGCGGUAAUACGGAGGGUGCGAGCGUUAAUCGGAAUUACUGGGCGUAAAGCGCGCGUAGGUGGCUUGAUAAGCCGGUUGUGAAAGCCCCGGGCUCAACCUGGGAACGGCAUCCGGAACUGCCAAGCUAGAGUGCAGGAGAGGAAGGUAGAAUUCCCGGUGUAGCGGUGAAAUGCGUAGAGAUCGGGAGGAAUACCAGUGGCGAAGGCGGCCUUCUGGACUGACACUGACACUGAGGUGCGAAAGCGUGGGUAGCAAACAGGAUUAGAUACCCUAGUAGUC
rnacentral:rRNA from 1 species